UACGUAGGGUGCGAGCGUUAAUCGGAAUUACUGGGCGUAAAGUGUGCGCAGGCGGUCUCGCAAGUCAGGCGUGAAAGCCCCGGGCUUAACUUGGGAACGGCGCUUGAAACUACGAGGCUUGAGUGUGGCAGAGGGAGAUGGAAUUCCACGUGUAGCGGUGAAAUGCGUAGAGAUGUGGAGGAACACCGAUGGCGAAGGCAGUCUCCUGGGCCAACACUGACGCUCAUGCACGAAAGCGUGGGGAGCAAACAGG
rnacentral:rRNA from 1 species